rnacentral:lncRNA from 1 species
AUAAAUAAUUUCUUUAAGUUUUUUGGCAUGCUUCUGAUACGAAGUCGGUUUGUUCAACCAAAUCACUUAACUACCUGAUUGUGCAUAACAUGGACAUGUGUCCCAAUAAAACACGACAACAACAGACACAUCCUCAAACUCCCAUGUAUCAUUCAAAACCUAAAUUUAAUGCAACCUUUCAAGUCCUAUUUGGACUUCCCCUUCACCUCCAAGUUUUCAUUAUGCUCCUCCAAAUUUUUUCAGUCAUGUUAAAAGUACUUUUUUAUAAGGGUUUUUUUUUUUUUUUCUUUCUUAUAAUUUUACCUUCAUCCACUUAUACCUAUUCAUUUUUUAUUCCCACGUCUGUGUAAUCCUAACAUUGCUCCUCCCUCCCAGUUUGCUCUCCAUCCCUACACCAUGCUCUUGCAGAUUUUGUCUAGUUCUUUUGCAGAUUUCAUCACACCAAUCUUAGUUCAUUCUUGCACCGGUCAUUCAUCCAUUCCAGGCCUGUAUUUGUUUAGAUAUGUUUUCUACAUUUCAUUUAAAAUGACUAGUAUAAUGUAAAUGAAAGUAUAAAUGAGAUAUCUAUGUGGAUUUGGAGAAU